rnacentral:misc_RNA from 1 species
AACGCACAUUGCGCCCUUUGGCAUUCCGAAGGGCAUGCCCGUUCGAGCGUCAUUACACCACUCAAGCCUGGCUUGGUAUUGGGCGCCGGGAGUCUCCCGCGCCCCUAAUUCGUCGGCUUGACGGUUCGAAUCUCAGCGUUGUGGUUUCAUCAAAUCGCUGGCGAGGACGACCGGACGCGCCGUAAAACAUUCAUUACAGGUUGACCUCGGAUCGGGUAGGGAUACCCGCUGAACUUAA